rnacentral:rRNA from 1 species
UUGACCUCGGAUCAGGUAGGACUACCCGCUGAACUUAAGCAUAUCAAUAAGCGGAGGAAAAGAAACCAACAGGGAUUGCCCCAGUAACGGCGAGUGAAGCGGCAACAGCUCAGAUUUGGAAUCUGGCCCCCAGGGCCCGAGUUGUAAUCUGGAGAGGAUGCUUCUGGCGCGGCGCCUUCCGAGUUCCCUGGAACGGGACGCCGGAGAGGGUGAGAGCCCCGUACGGUUGGACGCCUAGCCUUUGUGAAGCUCCUUCGACGAGUCGAGUAGUUUGGGAAUGCUGCUCAAAAUGGGAGGUAAAUUUCUUCUAAAGCUAAAUACCGGCCAGAGACCGAUAGCGCACAAGUAGAGUGAUCGAAAGAUGAAAAGCACUUUGAAAAGAGGGUCAAACAGUACGUGAAAUUGUUGAAAGGGAAGCGCCCGUGGCCAGACUUGUGCCCCGCGGACCACCCGGCGCCCUCAGCGCCGGUGCACUCCUCGGGGCGCAGGCCAGCAUCGGUUUUCCUAGGGGGAUAAAGGCGGCGGGAACGUGGCUCCCUCGGGAGUGUUAUAGCCCGCCGCGCCAUGCCCCUGGGGGGACCGAGGACCGCGCUUCGGCAAGGAUGCUGG